GGGGACGAAUGCAAAGCGUCGAGCAGUUAGCCCUUCAAGCUAAAAGUAGCGGGUUCGAGUCCCGCCGUCCCUGCCA
rnacentral:tRNA from 1 species